AGAUCGAAGACCAAUGCGGGGGUCAAACCCCGGUUGUAUGGUGAUUCAUGAUAACUUUGUCGAAUCGCAUGGAUUCAUUCCGGCGAUAGGUCAUUCAAAUUUCUGCCCUAUCAGCUUUCGAUGGUGGUGUUUUGGACCACCAUGGCAUUGACGGGUAACGGAGAAUUAGGGUUCGAUUCCGGAGAGGGAGCCUGAGAAAUGGCUACCACAUCUAAGGAAGGCAGCAGGCGCGCAAAUUACCCAAUCCUGAUACAGGGAGGUAGUGACAAGAAAUAACAAUACCGGUCCUUUUUGGGUCUGGUAAUUGGAAUGAGAGUAAUUCAAAUCCCUUAUUGAGGAUCCAUUGGAGGGCAAGACUGGUGCCAGCAGCCGCGGUAACACCAGCUCCAAUAGCGUAUAUUAAAGUUGUUGCAGUUAAAAAGCUCGUAGUUGGAUAUCUGGCUUGGGCGGGCCUGGUCCGCUUGUCUCGCAAGGGAUGGGUGUGUACCGGUGUUUGCUUUUGCCAUCCUUCUAGAUGCGCUUGCCUCUUUGCAGCGAUGCGAGGGGGGUUAAACAAGCGAGUCUGGAUCUUUUACUUUGAAAAAAUUAGAGUGUUCAAAGCAGGCGGUAAUGCUGUGAAUACGUUAGCAUGGAAUAAUGAAAUAGGACUUUGGUUCUAUUUUGUUGGUUUAUAGGACUGAAGUAAUGAUUGAUAGGGAUAGUUGGGGGUGCUUGUAUUGAACGGCCAGAGGCGAAAUUCUUGGAUUCGUUCAAGACAAACUACUGCGAAAGCAUUCACCAAGGAUGUCUUCUUUAAUCAAGAACGAAAGUUGGGGGAUCGAAGACGAUCAGAUACCGUCGUAGUCCUAACCAUAAACGAUGCCGACUAAGGAUCGGUGGGUGUUGUUUUUUCAUGACCCCAUCGGCACUUUACGAGAAAUCAAAGUUUUCGGGUUCCGGGGGGAGUAUGGUCGCAAGGCUGAAACUUAAAGGAAUUGACGGAAGGGCACCACCAGGAGUGGAGCCUGCGGCUUAAUUUGACCCAACGCGGGGAAACUUACCGGUUCCAGACUCAGUUAGGAUUGACAGAUUGCAGAUCUUUCUUGAUUCUGAGGGUGGUGGUGCAUGGCCGUUCUUAGUUGGUGGAGUGAUUUGUCUGGUUAAUUCCGUUAACGAACGAGACCUCGACCUGCUAAAUAGUCGAGCGAAUG
rnacentral:rRNA from 1 species